UAAGCCAUGUGUGUCUCUUGUCCCUUGUCGCGUCAUUGAUUGUUCAACACUGCAUGUUCUGCCUUAAAUGUCUACCCUGAAACUCGUCCCUGUGACAUGUAAAUGGCAGCAACAGCCAGUGUCCGCUCUCCCGCCCUCCUCCUGUCUGUAAGCAUGUGUCCUAAAACAGGAAUUGCUGUGAUCAGCGGAUUGGGGUCGCUGCUGUUUUCACUCCGGUGAGGUUUUGUCUCCAGGCUCACCUCCGGGGAAGCUUCGUCUCUGCGGCGUUGUCCCUACUGAGGCCUUAUCUCCCCUUGGUGACGUUGUCUCGCCCCGCUCCACUGCCUGGCGUCCCUGGUUCAUACCAUGCGCCAGAUCAGCUCUUUUAAACAUUUAUCACGCCUGUGUUUUAACCAGAUCUGUGUCCCUGUGCAUUGUUGAAUGGAUGUUUAUUUUGUUUUCCUUUUAUUAUAACUCGCCACUAAUUUGUUUUUGUCUUUUUAGUUGCUGGAGACUGGUGGUGGCGGUGCUGGUGGUGAUGUCCUACCCCUUUGUUCGCUGUGUCCUGGGAAGCGGGUUCCUCACUAUGUCAGGUGGUUUUGAAUUUGUUUUCUUAAUUUGGUGAGUCUCCCCCCCUUACACCUAGCCUUGUCCAGCCCUCUUAUUGAUUUUCUUUUGAGAUGAAUGAAAUUGCAUUCAUUUUAGAACUCCAGCUCACGGUAUCGGUCGGUACCGGAUCUACGACUCAUUUGCCCGACUAAGGCCCCCUCCCUCCCAUCCCGUGGUCCUCUCCCACCCUCCCUUUGGUGAUUUGAGUGGCGGUUCUGGCAGGGGUUUGACCGGCUUCCCGUGCCCUGCAGCCAGCGCCCCCCGAGCCAGACUUCUGGCGGACCCCCGGAAGC
ensembl:lncRNA